UUCGAUUGUCGAGAGCUGGCAACCCGUACGAUGAUAUUUGUACGGUAAAUGGACGUGGUGGCGAGGGGAAUCAGCGAUAUGUGUCGGCACCAAAGAACGGAUCUCGCCCUUACGCGCGACAAGAAAGACGGGACGGGGAGUACGUUUUCGGCAACCACCUCUUGGAUAUAAAGCAGCUCCAUCAGGGAGUUUCGCGAUCUCCCCGCUUCUAAUCUUACAGCGUAUGCAUUAUGCAUCGGGUGACCCAAUGCGCGCUGCCCGUUUGACCGUAUCGAGGCGAUGAAAAGUGUUUUUCUUACGUAACGUUAGCAAAAAGGGGGAGUCAUUACAUUACAAGCACAGUUUAUAUCAAAGAGGGUUGUUCCAGCAACGCAGACAACGACGGAGCCCUUUUCUCUUUUAUCCAGCGAAUUUUCGUAAAUAUAUUGGAUACAAGGGGGUACAACACACCGAGAGUGUGAAGCAUAGAGAAAGUGCAGAAUACUCCCGGUGGUCUCGCGGACCAGCGACGAUUAGGCAGCGGAUGUGUGGGAAGUGCCGCCUGUUGCAUUCGUUCGUGCGGAAUUGCAAAAACUAAAUUCAGCGGAACCGCGCCUGCGGCGUGGUUUGUAGGUAUUAUGCAACUGACGUAAUUCUCCGCUAUACGAGGAGGGUCUGUGUCCUCGAUUAUCGAUUCGUUAGGUUCAUACGAGACCCAUCCUCGCUCCGAUUUGUCCUUCAUCACUGCCAUAUUGCAGUUAUAAAACAUGUUACACCAUUAUACCUAUGAAAAACGUAAUCAUUAUUGUACGUACAUAUCGCAUUUUUCAUGAAUAUAUUCGGUCCUUUUUUUUUUGUUGAAUGAUUGUUAUUACGAUAAAAUUUAAUAUUCUUGCAAAAAAUUUGUCACAUGGUUUAGACUUUUUUUUACUUAAAUUCCUAACAUUGAUAAUAUAUACUUGCUUUCAGUAUUUGAUAAUUGAAAAUUGUUAUAUCGAGGUUUGCCUUCAUGAAUCCCAGUAAUUAACUAUCCCUUUAAUGCAUCGUACGCGACUGAACACUUGAAAUUAAUGGAACACUUGUAAUUUGAUAAAUGUUUGGAACGAAAGAAGAACAGGUUUUAAGUAAAACAGGCAUACACACGUUCCUCGACGAAUUAAUCGAAAUUUGCAAUUUGCCUGUUAAUUUGAUUAGCAUAUGUUUACGAGCACUCAAAUAUUACCGGCGAUGGAUGUUGUUAUUUUGGUUUUACGCUGACACAAUUCAGUUGACGCAAUCACGACAAAUUGCGAUUCGCGGAAUUAGUAUUUAUGCAUAAACCAUCAGCUGAACAUUUUUCCCCCUUAUUUUCGAGACAAAGAGGACCAAAGUGGAAGAAGAACGCGAGAGGCGCGUUCCAUUAAGCGAUCGUUUAGAUCUCCGCUUUAGAUCUGACGUUCUUAUUCCGACACUGAGAUCUGGCAAUUUAAUCUGGAGUUAAGAAUCGCGCAGGUGGAUCGAUUAGGGUGAGAGCUUACGGGGCAAACGAAAGUCAGACUCAUGCGACAAUAUUUAUGCGAGAAGGCCGGCUGAGAAAUUGCGUUAAAUAAUUCCAAGCGCGGGCCCGACGUGUCUCGCGCUUGUUAAAGUCCCGAAUUGUAAAUACCGCGGACGAGCUGUUACGCGUCCUUUUAGCGGUAACCCGACUUACGUCAUUUACCGCAGCGGACGAUAAGCAUCCCGCGUGUUGCGCGACUCGGCCGCUCGCAUGUCUCGUUACCUGCGUUUCACCCCUAUGUCCUACAUGCAAACGCUUUUAUACGUCAUUUAUGGUGCUUACAGCUCGCUAAACGACACGUGCGCGCGUAUAUAGCGGCUCCGUGUGCCGGCUCGCGCGUAGAGCAAAUAAAUAACCGCGAUUUUUUAAUUGCCCUCCUUUGCGCGAUCGUAUCGCAAUUUUGCGGCACGCAUUAAGGAUCGACGCAAUAAUUCGACGCGAGCCGACUCGCAAAAAUCACCGUCGUGACACUCUCCAUUUCCGCGUUCCAUUUCUCGAUAAUCGUCGGUACCCAGAAAAAAAAGCUAGCCUUAAAUCAAGAAUAGAUAUUUUUAUACGUAAGUAAGAAUAUUGUAAUCUUCUUAGAAGAUUUUUAAUCUGGAUUUGAUUGAAUUUUUAUUCAUGCAAGUAUUAUUUUCACUCAAUUCAAACUAAAAAUCUUCGGAAUAUGUUAUAAUUUGUUUGCAUGUAUAUAAGAAUACACCUAUCGUUGAUAUUUAAGAUUUUUUUUCCUAUAUAUGAGCAUACGUGCGUGGUGUUAUUACACGACGGUGCGAUGUUUAUCUUAAUUUAACAAAUUUUUUUCGAAACUCUCACGUAAUUUCUUUAACACGCAUUUACACGUUCUUCCUGUCAACGUGAAGUUCACGGUUCUUGAGAAAACUUGACGUUAACUUGAACUCUGAUAAUCUUAAUCUUCCUUACCGCAAAAUUAUCGCUAAAAAAUGUUAUUAACCCUUUAAUGGUAAGGUUGGAAUCGAAUCAAACCCCAUGCUCUGUUUUGUUCAUUUUUCUCCUAGUUAAUGUAUAAAAUUGGUAAAAGAAGUAAAUAACAACACGAAACUUCGCCCUCCGCUUAUUGAUAAAUGAAAUCGACACAAUAAAAUUUACUGACUUUAAAAAAUUGCAAUAAAACGCUUUGAAAAACACUUUGACGUUUCGAAACACCCAUCUUGUCAUUAAAGAGUCAACGGAGCGAUUUACAUACGAUCGAGGCAUUUACACGUUAAUAAUAUUUCACGAUAAAAAUAUUCGUGCAAAUACGUGUCGGUUUAAAAAUGUCGCCUGACACGUGAGAAAAAUCGACUUGUUCAGGUUGUAUUCUCGUUUAGAAUCUUCUUGAUAUUAUGCAAGCAUUUGCAAAUUACCGGAUGGAGAGUACUAUAAAUAUCGUUGACCCAUCUGAAUCUCGUGAUUUUUACGUGUGCGCUCGUAUACACGACGUCAGGGAGGACGUGGGGGAGGUAGGGGUGAAACCGCGAAGACAGGCCGCAUCGCAUUUUACGUCCACGCCGAGUGACAAAUAAAUAUGGUAAUAAGCAUUCGGCGAACUUCAAAUGCCGCGCAUCUUGGCUUUUGCGCCGCAUCGAAAGAAGAAAGUUAAACUAACUUUCCCCGCGCUCUAUCUGCUACGGACGCGAGCGAGAGCGCCGAGGGCGUCAGGGGGGAAGGCGGCGGAAGCGUACGAACGGGCCAGAAGAUACCAAGGGUACGUAAGUACCCUUAAAUAAUAUAAAAUUCAGAGGAAGUUGAUAAGCCGGGGCGCGUUCGAACUUUUCACUCGGCGCCUCCCAUUUCUUAUUAUAAUGAAUGCAUAUCGGCUUAGCCGCAGCUAAGAAGGACGACCGUGAGAACCCUUUUUCGGGGCUCGCGAGGUUAAGAAAGGCGAAGGGGUUGGCGUAUCUUUUUCUCAUAGAACAAGACCCGACGCGAUGUUCUUUAAUUCGACAGAAUUAAGUGCUUUUGGACCUUUCGAAACAGUACAGAAAGAUUAUAUUUUCGAUUAAAAUAGAUUGGUACACUUGAGAAUAUAAUAAUACAACAAUAUAUAGCACAGUGCAGUAAGAUAAAAUAUUAUACCUGAUGAUUAUUACAUGCGAAAAUAUAUUUUUUUUUAAAGAUGUGAUUCCCCCAA